rnacentral:rRNA from 1 species
UACGGAGGGUGCAAGCGUUAUCCGGAUUUACUGGGUUUAAAGGGUGCGUAGGUGGGUCUGUAAGUCAGUGGUGAAAUCUCCGAGCUUAACUCGGAAACUGCCAUUGAUACUAUAGGUCUUGAAUUAUCUGGAGGUAAGCGGAAUAUGUCAUGUAGCGGUGAAAUGCUUAGAUAUGACAUAGAACACCAUUGCGAAGGCAGCUUACUACGGAUUGAUUGACACUGAGGCACGAAAGCGUGGGGAUCAAACAGG